AAUGAACGCUGGCGGCAUGCCUUACACAUGCAAGUCGAACGGCAGCAUGACCUAGCUUGCUAGGUUGAUGGCGAGUGGCGACCGGGUGAGUAAUGCAUCGGAACGUGCCUUUUAGUGGGGGAUAACGUAGCGAAAGUUACGCUAAUACCGCAUAUUCUCUGAGGAGGAAAGCAGGGGACCUUCGGGCCUUGCGCUAGAAGAGCGGCCGAUGUCGGAUUAGCUAGUUGGUGAGGUAAAGGCUCACCAAGGCAACGAUCCGUAGCGGGUCUGAGAGGAUGAUCCGCCACACUGGGACUGAGACACGGCCCAGACUCCUACGGGAGGCAGCAGUGGGGAAUUUUGGACAAUGGGCGCAAGCCUGAUCCAGCCAUGCCGCGUGAGUGAAGAAGGCCUUCGGGUUGUAAAGCUCUUUCGGCUGGGAAGAAAUCGCACCCUCUAAUACAGGGUGUGGAUGACGGUACCAGCAUAAGAAGCACCGGCUAACUACGUG
rnacentral:rRNA from 1 species